GAAUAUUGGUCAAUGGGCGGAAGCCUGAACCAGCCAAGUAGCGUGAAGGAUGACUGCCCUAUGGGUUGUAAACUUCUUUUAUAGGGGAAUAAAGUGAGCCACGUGUGGCUUUUUGUAUGUACCCUAUGAAUAAGGAUCGGCUAACUCCGUGCCAGCAGCCGCGGUAAUACGGAGGAUCCGAGCGUUAUCCGGAUUUAUUGGGUUUAAAGGGAGCGUAGGUGGACAUGUAAGUCAGUUGUGAAAGUUUGCGGCUCAACCGUAAAAUUGCAGUUGAUACUGUGUGUCUUGAGUACAGUAGAGGUGGGCGGAAUUCGUGGUGUAGCGGUGAAAUGCUUAGAUAUCACGAAGAACUCCGAUUGCGAAGGCAGCUCACUGGACUGUUACUGACACUGAGGCUCGAAAGUGUGGGUAUCAAACAGGAUUAGAUACCCUGGUAGUCCACACAGUAAACGAUGAAUACUCGCUGUUUGCGAUAUACAGCAAGCGGCCAAGCGAAAGCAUUAAGUAUUCCACCUGGGGAGUACGCCGGCAACGGUGAAACUCAAAGGAAUUGACGGGGGCCCGCACAAGCGGAGGAACAUGUGGUUUAAUUCGAUGAUACGCGAGGAACCUUACCCGGGCUUAAAUUGCAUUUGAAUGUUGGGGAAACCCAACAGCCGUAAGGCAAAUGUGAAGGUGCUGCAUGGUUGUCGUCAGCUCGUGCCGUGAGGUGUCGGCUUAAGUGCCAUAACGAGCGCAACCCUUAUCUUUAGUUACUAACAGGUUAUGCUGAGGACUCUAGAGAGACUGCCGUCGUAAGAUGUGAGGAAGGUGGGGAUGACGUCAAAUCAGCACGGCCCUUACGUCCGGGGCUACACACGUGUUACAAUGGGGGGUACAGAAGGCAGCUACCUGGUGACAGGAUGCUAAUCCCAAAAGCCUCUCUCAGUUCGGAUCGAAGUCUGCAACCCGACUUCGUGAAGCUGGAUUCGCUAGUAAUCGCGCAUCAGCCACGGCGCGGUGAAUACGUUCCCG
rnacentral:rRNA from 1 species